CAUUAAAAAAAUAAAAAUAAACAUCGCACUUUUCCCUUAAAUUAAGUUGAAGUAUUUUUCUUAUUUUGCACAGACAAUGUUAACAUUUGGAAAGCCUUGUUGCAUUCAAGAAUGCAUCCAGUGGGCAUCACAAUAACAUUAAGCAUGUUGUGUUAAUUCCACAACAGGAGAUAUGUAAUGUUACCUAAAUUAGGUUUGAGGAAAAAUAACCCAAAUAUCGACAUCGGUAUCGGCUGAUAUCGGAAUCGAAAAUUUAGAGUCGGACAAUAUCGCAUAUCGGAUAUCGGCAAAAAAGCCAAUAUCGGACAUCCCUACUUAGAAGCGAUAUCAGUCAUUAAAGAUAUCCACUUAAGUCGCCACUACAACUACUACAACUGCUUGUUGGGUUUGAGUUCAUUGAGUUGUUGCACUUAAUGUUGGGCCACUGUUUUUCAGUUUUUGACUUCAUUGAAUGAUGAUGUAUGUGAGCCCUUUGCACUGAUAAAAAUACUGACCAUUCAUGUGGCUGUUUGAGCAUGGAAAACAUGAAAUUAAUGUAUGUUGGUUCAAUUAACAUACAUAGGUUAUGAUUCUGGACGAUUUUUUAGGUAGUGGCCAUCGCCAAAAUGCACCAGAAUACAGGAAAUCAUCUACCAAAUUCAAAAUUAUGUAGCUUCUCUCAGCUCACGUAUAGUUGAAGUGUGCAGUCAUGUGGCCCUCCGAUGGUUAUGAUAAAAAAUGUGGCCCUCUUUAUCAUGAAAGUUGCCCAUCCCUGGAGUAGCAUCAUCAUCACUGCCAGCUGACAUCAGACGCCUUGCUAGAGAAAAACAGUUCCAGCCAUCACAUUAGAUGAGUCUAGAAAUGCAGCAAACAUGAGGCUUAGUAACACAGCAGUUAUAGACUUUUUUUGUCUUUUUUUUCAUCUUUAGUUAUGUGUUCAUAAUGGUAUGGCCCUCUGAGGACUUUGGAAAAAUUGAAAUGGCCCUUGAUGUGAAAAAGGUUCCCCACCCCUGUGCUAGGGCUUGAGCCUCUAUUUUUGCGACUGGGUCAU
rnacentral:lncRNA from 1 species